AGCUCCAAUAGCGUAUAUUAAAGUUGCUGCAGUUAAAAAGCUCGUAGUUGCAUUUCCGAGGCAAGGGAUUAGUCCGACCUUUGGUGGGUAUUUAAUCCUCUUGCCUCGUCCUUGAGUGGUGCUUCUUGGUAUUAAGUUAUCGAGGAGAUAGCCGCUCAUCGUUUACUGUGAGAAAAUUAGAGUGUUCAAAGCAGGCUUAUGCCGUUGAAUAUAUUAGCAUGGAAUAAUAAGAUAGGACCUCGGUACUAUUUUGUUUGUUUGAGAACCAAGGUAAUGAUUAAUAGGGACAGUUGGGGGUAUUCGUAUUCAGUUGUCAGAGGUGAAAUUCUUAGAUUUACGGAAGACGAACUACUGCGAAAGCAUUUACCAAGGAUGUUUUCA
rnacentral:rRNA from 1 species